AGUGAACGCUGGCGGUAGGCCUAACACAUGCAAGUCGAACGGCAGCACAGUAAGAGCUUGCUCUUACGGGUGGCGAGUGGCGGACGGGUGAGGCAUACAUCGGAAUCUACUUUUUCGUGGGGGAUAACGUAGGGAAACUUACGCUAAUACCGCAUACGACCUACGGGUGAAAGCAGGGGAUCUUCGCACCUUGCGCGUUUGAAUGAGCCGAUGUCGGAUUAGCUAGUUGGCGGGGUAAAGGCCCACCAAGGCGACGAUCCGUAGCUGGUCUGAGAGGAUGAUCAGCCACACUGGAACUGAGACACGGUCCAGACUCCUACGGGAGGCAGCAGUGGGGAAUAUUGGACAAAGGGCGCAAGCCUGAUCCAGCCAUACCGCGUGGGUGAAGAAGGCCUUCGGGUUGUAAAGCCCUUUUGUUGGGAAAGAAAAGCAGCAGGUUAAUACCCCGCUGUUCUGACGGUACCCAAAGAGUAAGCACCGGCUAACUUCGUG
rnacentral:rRNA from 1 species